rnacentral:rRNA from 1 species
GACGAACGCUGGCGGCGUGCUUAACACAUGCAAGUCGAACGGGUCUGCCUUGUUUUUUGCGGGGUGGGUCAGUGGCGAACGGGUGAGUAACACGUGAGUAACCUGCCCCUCACUUCUGGAUAACCGCUUGAAAGGGUGGCUAAUACGGGGUGUUCUGGCUGUGCCGCAUGGUGUGGCUGGGAAAGAUUCACUUUUGUGGUGUUUUGGUGGGGGAUGGGCUCGCGGCCUAUCAGCUUGUUGGUGGGGUGAUGGCCUGCCAAGGCUUUGACGGGUAGCCGGCCUGAGAGGGUGGGCGGUCACACUGGGACUGAGAUACGGCCCAGACUCCUGCGGGAGGCAGCAGUGGGGGGUAUUGCACAAUGGGCGGAAGCCUGAUGCAGCGACGUCGCGUGAGGGAUGGAGGCCUUCGGGUUGUGAACCUCUUUCGCCGGUGAAGAAGGUUCCUGUUUCUUUGUGGUGGGGCUGACGGUAAGCCGGGUAAAAA